ACUUGAAUGAUGUCGUACCCUCAGUGGAACAAACCCAGAAAGGACUCAGUGCUUUCUUUUCUUCACUAUAUACCAUUAACAGUAGAGAACAACGUUCUGGAGAUGGAUUAAACAAAGUGACUGCAUACAUUCGAAAGCUCAGUGGGUGCAAUCCUUUGGCCCAAAGUCUGCAUCAGAUGUUGUGCAGAAAUGAGAUUGGAACAAGGACCCAGAAGGUUGCUAUCGUUGAAGGAUUGUACAAUCUCUUCAGAGAGCUGUUGCCAAGCCUCCACAAAAGAAGAGGUGACAAGAUCAUUGAAGACUGAGGUUUUUGAGAAUGCACCAGUGUGCUGGGCCUACCUGUUAUCUGAAGCAAAGAAAGAGAGUUCACAACAUGAGGUCUAUGUACCGAUAGACUUGACCUCUCGACCAGGAGAGCGCUUCUGCGACCCAGUUCGAGUACCUGGGUUACCAGAUGUCUUUGAAAGAGAGUAUGUUCUGCAGAAAG